rnacentral:rRNA from 1 species
GAUGAACGCUGGCGGCGUGCUUAACACAUGCAAGUCGAACGAAGCACUUUAUUUGAUUUCCUUCGGGACUGAUUAUUUUGUGACUGAGUGGCGGACGGGUGAGUAACGCGUGGGUAACCUGCCUUGUACAGGGGGAUAACAGUUGGAAACGGCUGCUAAUACCGCAUAAGCGCACAGCAUCGCAUGAUGCAGUGUGAAAAACUCCGGUGGUAUAAGAUGGACCCGCGUUGGAUUAGCUAGUUGGUGAGGUGACGGCCCACCAAGGCGACGAUCCAUAGCCGACCUGAGAGGGUGACCGGCCACAUUGGGACUGAGACACGGCCCAAACUCCUACGGGAGGCAGCAGUGGGGAAUAUUGCACAAUGGGCGAAAGCCUGAUGCAGCGACGCCGCGUGAGCGAAGAAGUAUUUCGGUAUGUAAAGCUCUAUCAGCAGGGAAGAUAAUGACGGUAC